rnacentral:rRNA from 1 species
UUUAAAGUCUAACCUGCCCAAUGAGGAGUUAAAUGGCCGCGGUAACCUGACCGUGCAAAGGUAGCAUAAUCAUUAGUUUUUUAAUUGAAAGCUGGUAUGAACGGUUGGACGAGAGAAUAACUGUCUCAAUUUAAUUGUUUUUAGAAUUUUAUUUAUAAGUAAAAAAGCUUAUAUGUAUUUAAAAGACGAGAAGACCCUAUAGAGUUUUAUAUUUUUUUUUAUGGAGGGUGAUUAGGAACGUUAUACUUUCUUUAUAGAAAAAAAUAUUUUGCUGGGGCAGCAGAAAAAUUGAUUAAACUUUUUUUACUCAAUAACAUUGAUUUAUGAGUAAGUGAUCCAUUAAUUAUGAUUAUAAGAUUAAAUUACCUUAGGGAUAACAGCGUAAUUUUUUUUUAGAGUUCUUAUCGAAAAAAGAGUUUGCGACCUCGAUGUUGGAUUAAAAUUAACUUUUGGUGUAGGGGCUAAAAGGUUAGGUCUGUUCGACCUUUAAAAUUUUACAUGAUCUGAGUUUAAACCGGCGUGAGCCAGGUUGGUUUCUAUCUUUAAAAAAAUUAGAUACCUUAGUACGAAAGGAUCAGGUAUUUUUAAAAUUUAAUAUAUUUUGAAUAUGAUUAAAAA